rnacentral:rRNA from 1 species
AACAUUUGGAAACAGAUGCUAAUACCGCAUAACAACAAAAGCCGCAUGGCUUUUGUUUGAAAGAUGGCUUUGGCUAUCACUCUGGGAUGGACCUGCGGUGCAUUAGCUAGUUGGUAAGGUAACGGCUUACCAAGGCGAUGAUGCAUAGCCGAGUUGAGAGACUGAUCGGCCACAAUGGAACUGAGACACGGUCCAUACUCCUACGGGAGGCAGCAGUAGGGAAUCUUCCACAAUGGGCGCAAGCCUGAUGGAGCAACACCGCGUGAGUGAAGAAGGGUUUCGGCUCGUAAAGCUCUGUUGUUGGAGAAGAACGUGCGUGAGAGUAACUGUUCACGCAGUGACGGUAUCCAACCAGAAAGUCACGGCUAACUACGUGCCAGCAGCCGCGGUAAUACGUAGGUGGCAAGCGUUAUCCGGAUUUAUUGGGCGUAAAGCGAGCGCAGGCGGUUGCUUAGGUCUGAUGUGAAAGCCUUCGGCUUAACCGAAGAAGUGCAUCGGAAACCGGGCGACUUGAGUGCAGAAGAGGACAGUGGAACUCCAUGUGUAGCGGUGGAAUGCGUAGAUAUAUGGAAGAACACCAGUGGCGAAGGCGGCUGUCUGGUCUGCAACUGACGCUGAGGCUCGAAAGCAUGGGUAGCGAACAGGAUUAGAUACCCUGGUAGUCCAUGCCGUAAACGAUGAGUGCUAGGUGUUGGAGGGUUUCCGCCCUUCAGUGCCGGAGCUAACGCAUUAAGCACUCCGCCUGGGGAGUACGACCGCAAGGUUGAAACUCAAAGGAAUUGACGGGGGCCCGCACAAGCGGUGGAGCAUGUGGUUUAAUUCGAAGCUACGCGAAGAACCUUACCAGGUCUUGACAUCUUGCGCUAACCUUAAAAAAUAAGGCGUUCCCUUCGGGGAACCCAAUGACAGGGGGUGCAUGGGUCCUCCUCACCCUNCNGUCCCGGGAAAUUUUGGG